rnacentral:lncRNA from 1 species
UAUUUGGUUUCACAUCUUCCCAUCACUAGCAGAAUAAAAUCCUAGAGACCAAACACUUGCAACUAUCAUAUCUGAGCAUUUUUUUUUGUAAAAAAAAAAAAAAAAAAAACAAAAAACAAAAAAUAAAAAUUAAAAAAAAAUGAACAAAAACAAAAAAAUAGAAAAAAUAGAAGUAUAUAUAAUACUAAAAAGAAACUAGAAGGCUACCUCAGAAUGAGACUCUCUAACCUACAUCAGAACCAGAUAGAAUGUGCACUGUGUGAGUCUAUUGUUUUCUUUUCACUUGUACCAUUGAAGGUUUAUCCAAGUGCCCGGUUGCUCAGUGCUGUGAAUUUUGUUUUAAGUGAAACAAGGAAGGUCAGAUAGGUUAUUGUGUCACCUAGACAUGCCAUUUUGGACAUGUUGGAUCUAAUGGAAUAUCACACACCAGAAUGACUGGCCAGUGAGCUGUUUGUCUCUUGGCAACAAAACUGCCUGUAUGGCAGGAACAAUGACAGUAAUCAGCAAAAGAAAUGGAUGGGACGUGUCCUGCAGGAGGAUGAGGUGGGCGUUACUCCUGAAUCAGGAGCUGGUCCUAGAACUAACUCCCCACUGUCACUGAUGUGCAUUCCACUCUGCUUUGCUUUAUGACCAUUCAAGUUUAAUUUCCCAGGCAAACAUCAGUAUCUACCAUUACCAUAGACAUCAAAGUUUCCAGUUAUUUUCAUCAUCAUAACCAGUACGGUGCUAUUAUUUACCUAUGUAUGUGUAGUUAUGUAUAAUUUUGUAAUUAGUUACAAUGGUAAAAUAUCAAAUAUAUAAAAGUGAUUUGUACAGAACUUUAUUUUAGCUCUUUUUUAAAAAUGGUUUGCAUGGUUAGACAAGGCAAGGACAGCCAGGGGAGGGAAGGGCCUCUAGGGAACUUCGCACUUUCUACACCUUUGUACUAUGCACUGCUCUAUUGAUUCUACACCCAAUAAUGUUAUUACUUGAACCCAUCUGUAAGGAACUGCUUCAGAAGUUCAUUUCUGUGUCUGUGGAUAACAACACAUCACAGCAGGAAAGGAAAACAUGCCUAGUAGCACACACAGUUUUUUUUUUUCUUUCCUGUUGAGUUUUGGGUUAGCUUUGUUUCAGUCUUUCUUGUCAUUUUAAAAUUCCCUUCCCAUUUUUUUCUCCUUUGCUUUUGAUUUCCAUUGGGUAUAUGGGUGCCCUGAUACUCCAGCAGAGGUCAGAAGGCUACAGAUCCAUCCUAUCCAUCCGUUACAUGGCUUUGCCAUACAAGCUUGGAGUGUCUUUACAAAGAUAACAGUUGUGUUCUUUGCUCUCGUUUUGGAUGCAUAGACUGAAAAUUCAAAAAAAAAAUAACUUGUAAAAUGGCUUGUUAAAAAAAAUACAAUUACCUCUAAUUAGUAGUACGCGUAAGUGUUUUACAGAAUGAAAGGCGUGCUUUUUAUUUUCUUACUUCGUUACAUUGGUGGCGAAAGAAGUCUGUAUGAAAAUCAGUUCUUUGCUGACACAGGUUCCAUUUGUUACAAAUGAAUUCUAAUAAAAAUGUCAGUGUUAUGC